CUCUAGAAUGUUCAGAAUCGACUGAGGAUACAAAAUAUAAAUGUAGGUCUAUAGGAGUAGGCUAGACUAGAUCAUGCCGACUAUUUCAUAAUUUUGUUUGUGAUAUUACUUACAAAUUGAAUUGCAUAUGAAACUACAGUCAAGUUGGAUAGAUUUAGACUUAUUAAACAUUUCAACUGUACACUGUUAAUAUAUUAUUUAUUUGUAUUGUGUAGAGAAUGUCAAUGAAGUAAUUCAUCAUACAAAAAGUUCCCACAGUCACAAUGUUUUUGGUAUGUGUUGUGUUUGUAUAUAUUGCCAUUAUUUUAACAAAUAAUGUUCACUGAUUCUAUUAAUAAUGUGGAUUUAUAUUUGUAUUACAGAUACUAUUAAUGAAGUUGACUGAAGAUUAGAUGAUUGAUUGACACAAUGCCAACAUCGUGCUCAGCUGUGAAUUGCGAGAGUCGGCGGUCCAAAGACCACAACAGAUCCUUCUUCAAAUUUCCGUUAUCUAAUCCUGAAUUAUGCAAAAAAUGGAUUGGAAAAAUGAAGUGUGACAAAUGAACUCCAACAAAGGCUUCAUCAUUGUGCUCAGACCACUUUGUGGAAACAUGUUUUCGUAAACAUGAAGUAAAUUCAU